rnacentral:rRNA from 1 species
AGAGUUUGAUCCUGGCUCAGAACGAACGCUGGCGGCAGGCUUAACACAUGCAAGUCGAACGCUCCGCAAGGAGAGUGGCAGACGGGUGAGUAACGCGUGGGAAUCUACCUAGUUCUACGGAACAACAGUUGGAAACGACUGCUAAUACCGUAUACGCCCCAAGGGGGAAAGAUUUAUCGGAAUUAGAUGAGCCCGCGUAAGAUUAGCUAGUUGGUGGGGUAAUGGCCUACCAAGGCGACGAUCUUUAGCUGGUCUGAGAGGAUGAUCAGCCACACUGGGACUGAGACACGGCCCAGACUCCUACGGGAGGCAGCAGUGGGGAAUAUUGGACAAUGGGCGCAAGCCUGAUCCAGCCAUGCCGCGUGAGUGAUGAAGGCCUUAGGGUUGUAAAGCUCUUUCAGUGGGGAAGAUAAUGACGGACCCACAGAAGAAGCCCC